rnacentral:rRNA from 1 species
UACGGAGGGGGCUAGCGUUGUUCGGAAUUACUGGGCGUAAAGCGCGCGUAGGCGGAUCUGCAAGUCGGGGGUGAAAUCCCGAGGCUCAACCUCGGAACUGCCUUCGAUACUGCGGGUCUCGAGUCCGGGAGAGGUGAGUGGAAUUCCUAGUGUAGAGGUGAAAUUCGUAGAUAUUAGGAAGAACACCGGUGGCGAAGGCGGCCUGCUGGGCAGUAGCUGACACUGAGGCGCGACAGCGUGGGGAGCAAACAGG